GCCAUUGCUAUCGGAGUCCGAUUUAGCCAUGCUAGUCGCACGAGUUCAUACUCGUGGCAUAUAGCUCAGUAACACGUGGCCAAACUACCCUAUGGACAACAAUAACCUCGGGAAACUGAGGCUAAUAGUUGAUACUGCUCUCAUGCUGGAACAGCAGAGAGCGGGAAACGCUCCGGCGCCAUAGGAUGUGGCUGCGGCCGAUUAGGUAGACGGUGGGGUAACGGCCCACCGUGCCUAUAAUCGGUACGGGUCAUGAGAGUGAGAGCCCGGAGACGGUAUCUGAGACAAGAUACCGGGCCCUACGGGGCGCAGCAGGCGCGAAACCUUUACACUGCACGACAGUGCGAUAGGGGGACUCCGAGUGCGAGGGCAUACAGUCCUCGCUUUUCUGUACCGUAAGGUGGUACAGGAAUAAGUGCUGGGCAAGACCGGUGCCAGCCGCCGCGGUAAUACCGGCAGCACGAGUGAUGGCCGAUCUUAUUGGGCCUAAAGCGUCCGUAGCCGGCCAGACAAGUCCGUUGGGAAAUCGACGUGCCUAACACGUCGGCGUCCAGCGGAAACUGUUUGGCUUGGGGCCGGAAGACUCGAGGGGUACGUCCGGGGUAGGAGUGAAAUCCCGUAAUCCUGGACGGACCGCCGAUGGCGAAAGCACCUCGAGAGGACGGACCCGACGGUGAGGGACGAAAGCUAGGGUCUCGAACCGGAUUAGAUACCCGGGUAGUCCUAGCCGUAAACAAUGCUCGCUAGG
rnacentral:rRNA from 1 species